GCUCCUACCCAAGUGGAAAUUCGAACGGCCGGCGUCUAUUUCCUUUCGUCUCCAACGAUUGCCACAAUAGCUAGGGUUUCUCUAUAGCAGAUUUCGACGCCGCCAGGUUGAUGUUAUCGGUGGUAUCGUUGCUGAAAACAAUGGAGAAAAUGGUGAAGGCAUCGGUAGCGUAGUGGACGUUGCUGCAACAGCUGAAGUGACUGAGGAUGUAGUUUUUAAAGAAAUCAACCAUUACAUUUAGAAUAUAAUAUCAUAAAAAUCAAAAAACUAUCACGAUGGAUAAGGAUGUUGUGAUCGAUGGAAGCGUCCCUGCUGCACGCUCAGGGAUGGAAGCGUCCCUGCUGGAUGAUGUAGAUGAACAGGGAGACAUUGCUUGUGACAUGACCGUUGCAAAGAAAAUGAAAAGUGCGGCCGCUGACGAUGGUGGUUCAGCAAAGGACGAUGAGGUAUUUGGUUACUAUAAAUACAUAUCAUGACGGCAACAUAAGUAAAAUUCAGUAAAAACGUGGGCGUAUUAUCUCAACUACAGAGAGGAGACCAUCAAGGCAAAAUCUGUGGCUAAUUCGAAAAUACAUAUUGUCAAGUUGAAGUGGGCGGACAAACGAAAUACAUUGGACACAACUAUUUAUCUUAUGCGAUGUUUGGAGACCUUCAUGGGAGAUAUUUCAUCAAAUUGGAAGUGUGACAUGUACAACGCAGGUGC